rnacentral:rRNA from 1 species
UACGAGGGGUGCAAGCGUUGCUCGGAAUUAUUGGGCGUAAAGGGUAGGUAGGUGGUCUCAUUUGUCUGGGGUGAAAGCCUUGAGCUUAACUCAAGAAGUGCCCCGGAAACGGUGAGACUCGAGUCCUGGAGAGGGUCGUGGAAUUCCCGGUGUAGCGGUGAAAUGCGUAGAGAUCGGGAGGAACACCAGAGGCGAAGGCGGCGACCUGGACAGGCACUGACACUCAACUACGAAAGCGUGGGGAGCAAACAGGG